CUUCGCAGCUGACAUCUUGGGAGGUCACUCCCUUUUGGCUGCGAGGAAAGUCCCCGUGCCGUGGAGCAGAGAGUGCAAGUGGGAGACCACAGGGUCGACCUGCUUUGCUGCUGUGGCGAUGCUUUCCUUUUGCAGAACCUU
rnacentral:RNase_MRP_RNA from 15 species